rnacentral:rRNA from 1 species
UACGAAGGGGGCGAGCGUUGUUCGGAAUUACUGGGCGUAAAGGGCGCGCAGGCGGCUCUGAAAGUCAGAUGUGAAAGCCCCGGGCUUAACCUGGGAAUUGCAUUUGAUACUCUGGAGCUUGAGUACGGGAGAGGAGAGUGGAAUUCCCAGUGUAGAGGUGAAAUUCGUAGAUAUUGGGAAGAACACCGGUGGCGAAGGCGGCGACCUGGUCCGUUACUGACGCUGAGGCGCGACAGCGUGGGGAGCAAACAGG